UUUUGGGCCAUCCUGGGCUUUAUUGGCCGUGGGACCCCGAAGCCACCCCACAAAGCCAACUGGGGACGGACACGAGGACGGGCUGGGGACACCGCGGGGACCCGGGGGGUCUGGAGGACAUCUGGGAAGGUUCUGGAGAACAGUGGGUGAUCCUGGAGGUGCCCUGGAGGCCACGGGAAGAUUCUGGAGAAUGUUGGGUGAUCCUGGAGGCUGUGGGGAGGUUCUGGAGAACACUGGGUGAUCCUGGAGGCCACUGAGAUCUCCUGGAGGCCACAGGAAUCUUCUGGAGGCCAUGGGAUAAGUUCUGGAGAACGUUGGGUGAUCCUGGAGGCCACUGAGAUGUCCUGAAGGAUGUUGAGUGAUCCUGGAGGCCGUUGGGAGGUUCUGGAGAACGCUGGGUGAUCCUGGAGGCCACUGAGAUCUCCUGGAGGCCACAGGACUCUUCUGGAGGCCAUGGGAUAAGUUCUGGAGAACGUUGGGUGAUCCUGGAGGUGUCCUGGAGGCCACGGGAAGGUUCUGGAGAACGUUGGGCGAUCCUGGAGGCCACGGGAGGGUCCUGGAGAUUAUGGGAAGGUUCUGGAGAACACUGGGCGAUCCUGGAAUCCCCUGAGAUCUCCUGGAGGAUGUUGGGUGAUCCUGGAGGCCAUGGGAAGCUUCUGGAGGCCAUGGGAAGGUUCUGGAGAGCGCUGGGUGAUCCUGGAGGUUCUGGAGGUCCUGGGAAGGUUCUGGAGAACGCUGGAUGAUCCUGGAGGCCAUGGGGGAGGUUCUGGAGAA